UUGCCUGCGCCAGUGUCUGAGUGGACAAAGCGAAGAUGCGCCGGCCCCUGGGGCUCUGUGCCGAAGGAGACAUGGGCCGCCUGGCCUGCAGAUUUUAACCUGUUCCGGUCUCUCUACUUUGAUCUUCGUCACCCGCUGGUCCGGUUCGAGCCCGUAGGCUGAUUCCUACAGCUGGGCUUGUGGGUAGGAUGGAGAGAGGGGAGCUGAUUCUGAAGGCGCUGAGGAGGACGAGGCUUUACCAGACUCCCCCUUGCUGAUACUGAGGGAGAUUUUGAAAUAUGUGCAUUGACUUUGCUGGCUGAACAUCCCUAACCCACACAUUCAGAACCUGAAGCUUUUUGAGGAAUGUAAACUCUGGAGUUGCUCUGGGGGAGAGAACCAGAAUUCCAUUCCAGCAAGGAUACUACAUUUGAAACUUGGCGGCUACUUUGAAUAUUGAGCACUUUCUUGCUCUUGUAGUUGGCAUGUGCAUACCACUGUGACUGGCACACACUGCAGUUCUGACUAAAAGGUUAUGGAAAGGAUAGUGACUAAAGUAUUGCAAGAUCUUUUGUUGUUACUACAUUAAUAUUACUGCAAUAAAACAAGCAACCAGUUUUUAACUAUUGAA